UUUUAUUUGAGAGUUUGAUCCUGGCUCAGGAUGAACGCUGGCGGCGUGCCUAACACAUGCAAGUUGAGCGAUUUACUUCGGUAAAGAGCGGCGGACGGGUGAGUAACGCGUGGGUAACCUACCCUGUACACACGGAUAACAUACCGAAAGGUAUGCUAAUACGGGAUAAUAUAUUUGAGAGGCAUCUCUUGAAUAUCAAAGGUGAGCCAGUACAGGAUGGACCCGCGUCUGAUUAGCUAGUUGGUAAGGUAACGGCUUACCAAGGCGACGAUCAGUAGCCGACCUGAGAGGGUGAUCGGCCACAUUGGAACUGAGACACGGUCCAAACUCCUACGGGAGGCAGCAGUGGGGAAUAUUGCACAAUGGGCGAAAGCCUGAUGCAGCAACGCCGCGUGAGUGAUGAAGGCCUUCGGGUCGUAAAACUCUGUCCUCAAGGAAGAUAAUGACGGUACUUGAGGAGGAAGCCCCGGCUAACUACGUGCCAGCAGCCGCGGUAAUACGUAGGGGGCUAGCGUUAUCCGGAUUUACUGGGCGUAA
rnacentral:rRNA from 1 species